AAGUUGCUGGGGUCACAGGCAUGAGCCACCGUGGCCAGCCAGGCGGCUUACUUUUCUCCUACUCCCUCGGUAUGAGUAAAGCCUGACAUGGAAAAUG